ensembl:lncRNA
GUGGAAUUUUAAUAACAGAGAAAUAAAUCAUUAAAAACAGAACCUAAAAAGAUUCUUUUAAGAAAGCUUUUUAAUUUUCUGCCCCUUGUCUGUUCUUUGCCCAAAACACCUCAACUAGGAGUCAUUCAGGACGUGUCCCAGUCAGAUGGUCAAGCCAGCUUUCGAUAUAGAGGAGUAGCAGGUCUGCCCCUCCUCAGCCCUCUAAGCCCAGAGGAAGCUUUACGCUCAGUUUCACCACUACAGACCAGUACAAUCUGUCAGUGUCACACUGGUAUUUCCCCUUACUCAAGAAGAAGACCGUGAGAAACCUGAAGUCCACUGCUUGAGUCAGUGAAGUCUCCAAUUCCUCCAAUUCUACAAUUCUCAUCCCCAGUCCAAUCAACACCUUGGGCGCUUUGUUGCUCUGUGAUUCCUCCUUUGAAAGCUGUUCUGUAAAAGUGAAGAGGCCUGAUGAAGGGUGUUUUCUUGCUGGGAGGUGAGGAGGUUCACAUCCAGAGGAAUGCGAGCUGAGUUCAAGCUGCCCUCGAAGGGACGAGCUGAACUCUGAGGGGCAGAAAAAGAAAAUAAGGACUGUCUAUGUGGCUCUGAUAACACAAUCAGAAACUCAAUGUCGUCAGAGAUAUGAGAGCUGAGAAACGAGAGCCGGGUCUGCUCCGUGUGUGAAACUGAGGGCGACGCAGAUCGCAAAGAGUGACUGACUGGGGGGGUGGGCUGUUGCCAUUUGCACAGAGGGGAUGUUCUUGGUCGGGGAUAAUGUUUAUGUCGAUGGUACCCAAGGUUUCCCAUCGGAAGAUUGUUUUUUUUCGUUAGUUAUUUGGUGUCCGAUUGCUGGAUAGAUCUAAACUUUAUUGAGAAACCAUUGUGGUUUGGUUUGAGGACUGUGGUUCCCUUCAUGGUUCAGUUUCUGAAAGUGUAACCUGAUUCCAUGUCUCGCCCCGCUCUGCCUUUCAUCGGCUUAGUAAUCUUGUUAGCAGAGUUCCUACGUAAUCCUCCCACAGUGUUCAGAUCCCUGCAGGUCUAUACGGCUUCUUCCCCGCAGCUCUGUGGGAUGCUGCUGGACCCCAACUGAGCAACUCAGGAUGUUGAGCUGGGUGGUCAAAGUUGUUCCCCAGCCGCCUGAGCCCAAAAAACCAGAAGAACAGAAGGAUGCUGCCCCGCCCCCUGCUCCUGCCCCACCCCCUGCAGCUGCUCCGCCUCCAGCUGCUGAGAAGAAAGUGAAGUUUCAAGAUGAAGUCAAAAGUGAAACACCAAAAGCUGAAAAACCAAUGCAGGAACCUCAGACAGGAGCGGAGAAUGGCCCGACAGCUGGGUCUCAGAGCGGCAUGUUGACGUGGAUCAGCGGCGCGUUGCCUCAACCUGCAGUCUCACCCAAAAUGAGCCGAGCAAACUCCACUGCCAAGGUCUUCAUCCCGAUCCAAAUGACUGAUUCUGUACGUUGGACAAGAGGAUUGUAAUUAAAACAAUGUAAUUACUGUUAAUUACUGCCGUGGUAGCUAAAUUUCAGUAGGUGUGAAAUCUCAGUUGUAUUGUUUCUCUAGACUCAGCUGUAAGUUUGAAUUGGUUGGAUUGUUCAAGAAGGAGUCAGGAUCCAGAAACUACGGGAAAAUGUCGGCACCCAGAGUGAUGGCAGUGUUUCACUUAGAGCAGAAAGGUCUUUUUCACUCACACUAAUUUGUCUGCAUAUUUGUAUCCUUGCAUCAAC